rnacentral:rRNA from 1 species
GAUUUCUGGUUGACCGCGCUGGCCCGCCCCCUCUCGGGGGUGAGUGCCGGCGCGUGUUUUCCAUCCUUCCAGACUGCCACGUGUACCGUUCAUUCGGCCGCGCGUUGUGCGAUCUGGAUCUUUUACUUUGAAAAAAUUAGAGUGUUUAAAGCAGGCUUACGCCUUGAAUACAUUAGCAUGGAAUAAUAAUAUAGGACUUCGGUUCUAUUUUGUUGGUUUCUAGGACUGAAGUAAUGAUUGACAGGGACAGUUGGGGGUGCUAGUAUUCAGCGGCCAGAGGUGAAAUUCUUGGAUUCGCUGAAGACUAACUACUGCGAAAGCAUU